rnacentral:rRNA from 1 species
UUGUCCUACGGGGCGCAGCAGUGGGGAAUAUUGCACAAUGGGGGAAACCCUGAUGCAGCAACGCCGCGUGAGUGAAGAAGGUUUUCGGAUUGUAAAGCUCUGUUAGCAGGGAAGAGGAAGGACGGUACCUGCAGAGGAAGCCACGGCUAACUCCGUGCCAGCAGCCGCGGUAAUACGGAGGAUGCGAGCGUUAUCCGGAUUUAUUGGGUUUAAAGGGUGCGCAGGCGGCACGGCAAGCCGGCGGUCAAAUCGCGGGGCUCAACCCCGCCCAGCCGUCGGAACUGCCGGGCUAGAGUGGGCGAGAA